UUUUCUCCUUUUAUGGAAAAUCUUUGUGCUGCUUUCAUGUUAACAGUUGUUACUGUUACUGUUAUUCAAAGAUUAAACUAAAUAUCAGUGCAUGAAAAUCUAUCUUAAUAAAGCCACGAUUUUCUUUUUUUUUUUUUUUUUUGAUGUUGUGUGUAUGCUUUGCACACUAGUACAAAAACUAGAAUAAGAAACGCAAGAUAUAGAACGGUUAACUUAGAUAUGCGUUCUCCAUGUUUAUAUAGAACGCCUGUCUUAAUUAACCGUUCUAUUUGAUUUUUUUUUAUUUUAUUAAAUUGUGAUUUUAUUAUAUAGGGAACGAAUUUCUUAGUUAACCGUUCUAUUUGAUACAUCUAAAUUUAACACUUACAAUAUAGAUCGCCCCUCCUAGUUAACCGUUCUAUAUGUUUAACAUUAUUUUUUAAGAAUAAAAUAAAAAUAAAAAUCUAACCUAUCAAGAGGCCCAAAAUUCUAACCCUAACUCCUCCUUCCUCUUAAUUAAGAUAGCCGUAAUCCGUUUCCUCAUCCUCUCAAGAACUUCUUCCCUCCUUUGAAACCCUUACUUCUUUCUCAUCUUCUACCUUCAUCCCUCAAAGUCCGAUCCUAGUAACUCCGGCUGAGUAUGGGUCUUGAUGCAGUACGGUGCUUUGUUUCAAGGUAGGUGGUGGCUGAGAUUGAAUUGAUUGGUGGAUCGUUUAAGGUGGUUAGAGGUGUGCGAAUUAUGAAGUGUAUUUUAAUUCUAAAUUAUUAAUUUUAGGUCUAUAACUUUCAUUAAUUGAUUUUUAUGUUAUGAUUUGAAUUAUAAUUUCUGAUUUUUCAUCUUUGAUUUGUGGGUGUUUGGUGCGGCUUCACUAUUGGCGUGCACUAUUGCUGGAGGUGCUGCGGUGUUGAGGUUAUUGGAGACGUUGCGGUGCUCGAUGUUGGUGGAGAUCAGAUGUUGCAAUGGUCGAGGUUGGUGGAGGCGUUGCUAAUGCUUCAAUUUGGGGGAAGCGCUGCUGGUGGUUCUGGUUUUUGAAGCUCCGUUGCGGUUGAAUCGGUUGAAUUGGAUUAUUAAGGUGGAGGUGGUUCGAAUUUCAUGGUUGCACUUUUAAAGUUGUUAGCAGUUUAGCACAUUGAUAAUUAUUAAGUUGGUAUAGAAUUGUAUCAAAAUAAAGAGUUGAGAUGUAAUUACUAUGUAUUUGAAUAUAAAGGAUACUUCGUAAUAAAAUAUAUUUUUAAUUUGA